AGUGAACGCUGGCGGCAGGCCUAACACAUGCCAGUCGAACGGCAGCACAAGAGAGCUUGCUCUCUGGGUGGCGAGUGGCGGACGGGUGAGGAAUGCAUCGGAAUCUGCCCAUUUGUGGGGGAUAACCUCGGGAAACCGGGACUAAUACCGCAUACGACCUACGGGUGAAAGCAGGGGAUCUUCGGACCUUGCGCAGAUGGAUGAGCCGAUGCCGGAUUAGCUAGUUGGAGGGGUAAAGGCCCACCAAGGCGACGAUCCGUAGCUGGUCUGAGAGGAUGAUCAGCCGCACUGGGACUGAGACACGGCCCAGACUCCUACGGGAGGCAGCAGUGGGGAAUAUUGGACAAUGGGCGCAAGCCUGAUCCAGCCAUGCCGCGUGUGUGAAGAAGGCCUUCGGGUUGUAAAGCACUUUUGUUGGGAAAGAAAAGCAGCCGGUUAAUACCCGGUUGUCAUGACGGUACCCAAAGAAUAAGCACCGGCUAACUUCGUG
rnacentral:rRNA from 1 species